rnacentral:rRNA from 1 species
AGCAGCCGCGGUAAUUCCAGCUCCAAUAGCGUAUAUUAAAGUUGUUGCAGUUAAAAAGCUCGUAGUUGAAUUUCGGAGUUUGUCGGUUGGUCGGGCUUCACUGUCCGCACUGACCUGAUAGACUCCUACCUUCUGAAUAACCAGCAUGCUAUUAAGUUAGUGCGUUGGGGAAGCAGAGCUAUUACCUUAGAAAAAAUUAGAGUGCUUAAAGCAGGCUUACGCUUGAAUAGAUUAGCAUGGAAUAAUAAAAUAGGACGGCAUGGUUCUAUUUUGUUGGUUUCUAGGAUCACCGUAAUGAUUAAUAGGGAUAGUUGGGGGCAUUAGUAUUCAAUUGUCAGAGGUGAAAUUCUUGGAUUUAUUGAAGACUAACUUCUGCGAAAGCAUUUGCCAAGGAUGUUUUCAUUAAUCAAGAACGAAAGUUAGGGGAUACGAAGACGAUCAGAUACCGUCGUAGUCUAACCAUAAACUAUCGCCGACUAGGGAUCGGACGAUGUUAAUUUUUAAUGACUCGUUCGGCGCC